UACAGAGGGGGCAAGCGUUAUUCGGAAUUAUUGGGCGUAAAGGGCGCGUAGGCGGCUUGGCAAGUGGAUGGUGAAAUCCCUCGGCUUAACCGGGGAACUGCAUCCGAUACUGGAUGGCUUGAGUUCGGGAGAGGGAUGCGGAAUUCCAGGUGUAGCGGUGAAAUGCGUAGAUAUCUGGAGGAACACCGGUGGCGAAGGCGGCAUCCUGGACCGACACUGACGCUGAGACGCGAAAGCGUGGGGAGCGAACAGG
rnacentral:rRNA from 1 species